rnacentral:lncRNA from 1 species
CCUCUCCCUGUCCUCUCGCAACUGUCAGGCGAAACGGGCCCGCGCAUAUUGGCUCGGCUACACGCCGAGGCUCCUCCCCGAGUCUGGAUCUUUAUAUUUUGGGAGAAUUUCUUUGAACUCAGUUAGCAAGCUCGGUGAAGGAGGCAAGUUCCCACAGCCGGCUCGGUAGACGGGGUCCGCGCGCCGACCCAGGCGAGGCAGCGCGAGGGCUCGCCCACCUUCCCCGCAGCGGCCGUGCGUCCCGAUCCUAUUCCUCUUUUCCCUGGUGGAGAACUGAGGACUUACUUGACUGAGGAAAAUGCCAAUGAUGUGGAUGUGACCAUGAAAAGAGAACGUGUGACUGGAGGAGGCAGAAGAGGAUGAGGAAAAGCGUUAUUUGAAGAGAAGAAUAAGCCAGCCACUCCAACGUUUUCUGCAAAUUGGUGCAAUUACUUCUGGGGUCCAUUUGCUUUUAUUCUUUCUAACCCACAAUUAAGAAAUCUUGAUUUGAGGGUCAAGAGACAACCUCUUACAAUUGGGGAACGCUUCUGGUUGGCAGAUCUUUUGGAUGUAACAUUAUUGGAACAUUUAGACUCUCCUCGGGAAAAGCCACCAUGAAUUCGGUAGCUGGGAAUAAAGAGAGGCUUGCGGUCUCCAACCGGGGCAAGAAAUACGGGGUAAGUUGUCACGGGUUCAACACCGAGACGCGUUACCAGACCCAUCUCGGCCGGGGUCCUUCUUUCUCGGGAACGGGUGGCUCCGGCAGAGCUACCCCCAGGAGCCGGUGGCCAGCGCGCGGAUCCGAGCUCUCCUCCCGCUGCAGGGACACCUCCGCUGUGCGUGCGCGGAGGCGGGUCUGUUGCGAGGACACCCGCACACUCGCCUCGCUCUCGGAUUUUUUUCAGUCGGUUUAAUCUUUUCUUUUCUCCGGAUCCAUAACUUUUGCGGUAUUCCUGGACUUCUAGGCAGAGUUAAGCCGUAAGGAAUGUUUCCCAUGAAAUCUCUGCCUUUGGUUGCACGGAUCGUUUCCCGGGAUCCGGGAGAUCCUUUCAUUUUACCGGCAGGAUCCGGUGGGCUGUUCCCUGAAUGAAUAAAAACCCAUAAGUCACAGGGCCCUCAGAAUAGGGUCUUCUAGGAUCUUGUAACUGGGUUCUUGCUGGGGUGGGUGCCAGGUCCAAAAGCACGGGGCGCUGAAUCAGUGGGUACCCCCUGCAGAAACCGUUGAAAACCCCUCAAGUAAACCCUUCUCCUGACCUGAGGCACCCAGAAACCGGAGCAGGGGUCACUCGGAAGGCGGGGUAUCACCUUAGGACAAUUAACGAGAUAGAAGGAGGGCAACUUAGCUGCAGGGCUAGCAGCAGCCGGGAACCGGAGCCCGUGGGCUUUCGGCCAGGCGCUCGGUGGCAUGCGGAUACCCCGGCGGGCGGGCAGAACGGCGCCCCCAGGCCCGCCCAGCUCCAGAGAGCGGGAGUCCGCCGCCUCGCGGCCCCUGACACCCGCGUGUCUCCCCCUGCAGGUGAAUGAGGUCUGCUCGCCCACCAAGCCCGCGGCUCCCUUCUCCCCUGAGAGCUGGUACAGGAAAGCGUACGAGGAAUCGCGCGCUGGGAGCCGGCCUACCCCCGAGGGCGCAGGCUCGGCGCUGGGCUCGUCGGGGACCCCGUCCCCCGGCUCGGGCACCUCGUCCCCGAGCUCCUUCACCGGAUCCCCGGGUCCCGCCUCUCCGGGCAUCGGCACCAGCUCGCCGGGCUCCCUGGGCGGCUCGCCGGGCUUCGGCACCGGCUCCCCGGGCUCUGGCAGCGGCGGCGGCUCCUCCCCCGGCUCGGACCGCGGCGUCUGGUGCGAGAACUGCAACGCCCGCCUGGUGGAGCUGAAGAGGCAG